CGUAACACGUAGGCAACCUGCCCCGAAGCGGGGAUAACGAGCCGAAAGGCUUGCUAAUACCGCAUGUGACCACGACCUCGCCUGGGGUCGUGUUUGAAGGGAUCCGCGCGAGCGGGUUUCGCUUCGGGAUGGGCCUGCGGCCUAUCAGUUAGUUGGUGGGGUAACGGCCUACCAAGGCUUUGACGGGUAGCUGGUCUGAGAGGAUGGUCAGCCGGAUUGGGACUGAGACACGGCCCAG
rnacentral:rRNA from 1 species